rnacentral:rRNA from 1 species
UGAGCAAUCUGCCCUUCUCUUUGGAAUAAGCGUUGGAAACGACGUCUAAUGCCGAAUACGACCUCCUUUCGCAUGAUCGGAGGUGGAAAGCUCCGGCGGAGAAGGAUGAGCUCGCGGCCUAUCAGCUAGUUGGUGUGGGUAAUGGCCCACCAAGGCGACGACGGGUANCCGGCCUGAGAGGGUGACCGGCCACGACUGGGACUGAGACACGGCCCAGACCUCCGUACGGGAGGCAGGCG